UACGUAGGGUGCGAGCGUUAUUCGGAAUUACUGGGCGUAAAGCGUGCGCAGGCGGCUUUUGAAGCCAGAGGUGAAAUCCCCGGGCUUAACCUGGGAAUGGCAUUUGGGACUGCAAGGCUCGAGUGCGGUAGAGGAGACUGGAAUUCCUGGUGUAGCAGUGAAAUGCGUAGAUAUCAGGAGGAACACCGAUGGCGAAGGCAGGUCUCUGGGCUGACACUGACGCUCAUGCACGAAAGCGUGGGGAGCAAACAGG
rnacentral:rRNA from 1 species